CGACCUGAGCUCAGGCAAGGUUACCCGCUGAACUUAAGCAUAUCAUUAAGCGGUGGAAAAGAAACUAACCAGGAUUCCCCUAGUAACGGCGAGCGAACCGGGAAUAGCCCAACUUGAAAAUCUCCCCUUGGAGAAUUGUAGUCUACAGAAGCGCCCUCAUGGGCUGGCGGAACUCAAGUCGGAUCGAAUGCCGCGUCAGAGAGGGUGAUAACCCCGUCGGUUCCUGCCUAGUCCUCUCACGAGGUGCUUUCCACGAGUCGGGUUGUUUGGGAAUGCAGCCCUAAUUUGGAGGUAAAUCCCUUCUAAGGCUAAAUACUGCUGAGAGACCGAUAGCGAACAAGUACCGUGAGGGAAAGAUGAAAAGAACUUUGAAAAGAGAGUAAAAGUGCUGAAAUUGUGAGAGGGGGGGAUCCUCAGAGUCGAC
rnacentral:ncRNA from 1 species